UCGCAAAUAACGCCACGAAUGUAUGUUCGUGUUG
rnacentral:rRNA from 1 species